GACAGAGGGUGCAAACGUUGUUCGGAAUUACUGGGCGUAAAGCGCGUGUAGGCUGUUUCGCAAGUCGGAUGUGAAAGCCCUGGGCUCAACCUAGGAAGUGCAUUCGAAACUGCGAGACUUGAGUCCUGGAGAGGAAGGCGGAAUUCUCGGUGUAGAGGUGAAAUUCGUAGAUAUCGAGAGGAACACCGGUGGCGAAGGCGGCCUUCUGGACAGUGACUGACGCUGAGGCGCGAAAGCGUGGGGAGCAAACAGG
rnacentral:rRNA from 1 species